rnacentral:pre_miRNA from 1 species
CAAGUACUCCCUCCGUCCGGAAUUACAUGUCAUCAAAAUGGAUGUGUCUAGAACUAAAAUACAUCUAGAUACAUCCAUUUCAAUGACAAGUAUUUUCGGACGGAGGGAGUACAAG